AUUGAACGCUGGCGGCAUGCCUUACACAUGCAAGUCGAACGGCAGCACGGGAGCAAUCCUGGUGGCGAGUGGCGAACGGGUGAGUAAUAUAUCGGAACGUGCCCAGUCGUGGGGGAUAACGUAGCGAAAGCUACGCUAAUACCGCAUACGAUCUAUGGAUGAAAGCGGGGGAUCGCAAGACCUCGCGCGAUUGGAGCGGCCGAUAUCAGAUUAGGUAGUUGGUGCGGGAAAGGCUCACCAAGCCGACGAUCUGUAGCUGGUCUGAGAGGACGACCAGCCACACUGGGACUGAGACACGGCCCAGACUCCUACGGGAGGCAGCAGUGGGGAAUUUUGGACAAUGGGCGCAAGCCUGAUCCAGCAAUGCCGCGUGCAGGAUGAAGGCCUUCGGGUUGUAAACUGCUUUUGUACGGAGCGAAAAGGCUUCCACUAAUACUGGGGGCUCAUGACGGUACCGUAAGAAUAAGCACCGGCUAACUACGUGCCAGCAGCCGCAGUAACAC
rnacentral:rRNA from 1 species